GUGAGACUGUAGGGGCUCCCGGCCUCCCCAGGCAAUCGAGGUCCACACCCGAGACGGAGGCCCCUCCCGAGACCCCUCUCCCGGCCACAGUGAGCGCGAGCGAGUGGCUCCGUGGCGAGACCCCGCCCCAGUCUCUUUAUUCCAAGCCCCGUGCUGGUCUAGAUCGGGGCUGCAGAGCCGAGUCCCCACCCACCCCGCGCCCCUCGCAGCCUGCACCCCGGGAGUCGAGGGGGGACCCUGAUUCCUCUCCAGCGCCGCCCUGCAGACCCCAGGGACUGAAAUGAAACUCGCUUCCCUUCUCCACGUGAACCCCCAUCCAGGUCUGGCAGCUGGAGGAUCGGGGGCCCCGCCCCCCCAGGCUCCAGUCCCAGCGGCCCCCUUCAGGACAGAGUGGGCGUCUCUCCACGGCAGCCUCUGUAGGGACCCCGAGGUCGCAAUCGUGGAAAUGGGGAAACUGAGGCACAGAGCCGGACAGUGACCCAAACACUGGGUAAGCAGUGGCUCCCUGGAUGGGGCUGCAUGUAGGGGGUUCAGAAGGCCCGAGGGGUGUUUGGGGACACGGUGGGGACCCUGGCCUCACCUCUCACCAGACUCCUCUUCCCACAGGAGCUGCCAGUGGGGAGCACAGAGCUCAGGCCUGGCCCAGCUGGCUCAGGGUACAGAUCCACUGUUACUUCCUGGCUGCAACCUUGACAGGUCCUGGGCAGGGUCUUCACAAAGGCCACCAGGAUGUCAUAUUUUGGAGAACAUUUUUGGGUAAGACCUAUUCUUAUUUUGGUGGGGGCUCUGGUUAGAGACUUUUAUGGAGAUGAGGAGGCAGUAUCUUGUGCACAGAGCCUUGGGCAGGUAGAGGGCCUGCAGAUCAUAGAAGUUAAAGUUGGAAGAGAGGCUGGUGGAUCCACAGGGCCUGCAGAUCAUAGAAGUUAAAGUUGAAAGAGAGGCUGGGUUUGAAUCCACACCUCAGCCCUCACAGGCUUUGUACCUUGCAAGUGAUUCACAGAUUAACCACGGGGGAACUGAGGCCCAGCAUGGGACUCUGGGACCUGAAAACUGCCCAGUGAUGCAGUGCAGUCAGGACUCGAACCUGGGACCAGGCUGAAUUUCCAGGACACGGAGUCAGCCCCGCUGGGAAUUCCCACGUCCUCCUACCCUAGAGAGUUAGGGUUUUUGCCUUGACCCCGGCGACCUGCACCCCUUCGUCCAGGCUGGGACCUUGUGUGUGACCCCCUUGUGUGCUGGGGCCCAGAGCACCCGCUCAUGUUCGUUCAUUCAUUCACUUGUCCCCUGCCUCGAGCCACACCUCCAGCGCAGCCAGCUCUGGGACCUGUCUGGCCCCCGAAGGGCCCCAUCCCAGCCCUGCAGAGUCAGGGCUGAGCCCAGCCUUGGGGAUCCCAGGAAGGAGCCAGGACCCCAGCUGUGGUUGCUGUGGGCUGUAGGGGCUGGGCUUUGCCUGCUGGGUGGUGAGAGGGAUUCCAGGCAGAGGACACAGCCCAGCAAGCACCCAGAGGUCUGAUGCUGGGGACAAGUUCAGGGAUCAAGGGCUCCUCUCCAGGGCCGGGCUGGCGGGAGCAGGAGAGCACCCAAGAGUCAGGCGGGACCAGGCAGAGAGGCCCCUCCUCACUUGCAAGGCCCUGAGCUUGCAGAGAAGCCUGUUGCUAGGUAACCCGUUGUUUCUCUGCUCUUUCCCUCCCUCCCCCAGCUGGAGCUUCCCUUACUGGCUUGGCUUUCUUAAAGGGGCCAUAUCCCUUGCCACCUGCAGGGAUCUGACCUCUGCCCUCUCCCUAAGGGUCAGACUCCCCAGUUUGGCCUCUGAGUGGCUGUGUGAUUGCACCGAGGGUCUGUCCCUCUCUGAGCCCGGUCAGCACCUGUGUAAGGGCUUGACCACUGCAGGAUGAGAAGUCGCCCACGUGGAACUCUGACAGCAGCGCCUACGUUUAUUUUCAAUGUCUUUUCAUAGCAUGAGGCACCCACCCUUAUUUUCGGUUCUUUUUCUAUAGCACAAGGUGCUCAGCUCACUGCAGCUGAUGCUGAUUAGCAAAGGAAAAUAGAAACCACCCCCCAGCCCCACCCAAAGAUAGCCCGGCACAGGGUGGCUGAGCGCCAGGAUCAGAAUGCGAAUCGGGCUCUGCUGGGAGCCCCAGGACAGGAGACUGCCUCUCCGAGCCUCAGUUUCCCCUUCUGGGAAAAGGAAUGAAAUUUCCAUUUUCCCCGGACUCAGAGAGGCCAAGACUCUGUCCCUGCCAGAAACGCCCGGAGUGAUGCGCUAUUUCAUGGACCCGGUCCCACAUACACCUGGCUCUCAGCUGGGUGAC
rnacentral:lncRNA from 1 species